GGCGUGAGCCACAACACCUGGCCUUAAACAUACUUUCAACUACUCCUCUUAAUUUUAAUUUUACCUUAUCCCCAAUUCCAAACGUACAAGUAGACACUAAUUCAUGCUCUUUUAGAGGUUCUGCAGUGCAGAUUGCUUUCACCCCACCAAUCAGUUAGUACCAUUUCUGUGUCUAGUUAACUCUGGUCGAACGAUUUCUAGCUUCCAAAAUAUUGUGGUUUCUGUCUUCUGUUUUGUUUUCGUCUUGUUGGUCUUAUGUCCUUAAAAAUUUCAUGGACUUCAUUUUAAUGAAUUUUGAGAGAGAGACGUAGCUAGUGCAUAUGAUUAAUUCAUUCUCUCUAAACUAGAAGUUUAUUUUCAUUUCUAUCUGCACUGUGAAGUUAAGUUUUUUUAUUCGAAUUUUUUUUAAGGAGAAUAAGGUUUAACAAAUGUUUCCUGUUUCUGAAAGGGCUAAUCAAGGCAUAAGUCACACUUGAGUGAAAUGUUACUUUUGGAGAGAAAUGAACACAGAAGCAUACUUGCAUUAUUUAUAAUGGUUUGUCUCUCUUGUGAUCACUUAAAGUUAUAUGAACAUAUCUUGUAUUGUUUUCAUCUUUUAAAUUAAUCACUGGAACAUUAUUAUAAGCUUUAUACAAGUGAUGGCUAUUAAUUUCAUUUUUAAAGCUUUAACAAUAAUAAUACAUAGUAAUAUUUAUUUUUUACAUACUCUAUCCCGGGCACUGUACUAAACAUUGUACAUAUACUAUCUCAUAUUGAGAGGUGACAGCGUGCUGGCAGUCCUCGCAGCCCUCGCUCACUCUCAGCGCCUCCUCUGCCUGGGCUCCCACUUUGGCGGCACUUGAGGAGCCCUUCAGCUCGCCACUGCACUGUGGGAGCCCCCUCCUGGGCUGGCCAAGGCCGCAGCCGGCUCCCUCAGCUUGCACGGAGGUGUGGAGGGAGAGGCGCGGGCGGGAACAGGGGCUGCGCACGGUGCUUGCGGGCCAGCACGAGUUCCGGGUGGGCGUGGGCUCUGCGGACCCUGCACUCAGAGAGGCCGGCAGGCCCCACCGGCCCGGGCAGUGAGGGGCUUAGCACCUGGGCCAGCAGCUGCUGUGCUCAAUUUCUCGCCUGGCCUUAGCUGCCUUCACGUAGGACAUGGCUCGGGACCUGUAGCCGGCCAUGCCUGCGCCUCCCCCACCAUCCGUGGGCUCCUGUGCAGCCCCAGCCUCCCCGAGGAGCGCAGCCCCCUGCUCCACGGCGCCCAGUCCCAUCGACCACCCAAGGGCUGAGGAGUGUGGGCGCACGGCGCUGGAGUGGCAGGCAGCUCCACCUGCAGCCCUGGUGGGGGACCCACUGGGUGAAGCCAGCUGGGCACCUGAGUCUGGUGGGGACUGGAGAACCUUUAUGUCUACCUAAGGGAUUGUAGUUACACCAAUCGGCACUCUGUAUCUAGCUCAAGUUUUGUAAACACACCAAUCUGCACCCUGUGUCUAGCUCAGGGUUUGUGAAUGCACCAAUUGACACUCUAUCUAGCUACUCUGGUGGGGCCUUGGAGAACCUUUAUGUCUAGCUCAGGGAUUGUAAAUACACCAAUCGGCACUCUGUAUCUAGCUCAAGGUUUGUAAACACACCAAUCAGCACCCUGUGUCUAGCUCAGGGUUUGUGAAUGCACCAAUCGACACUCUAUCUAGCUACUCUGGUGGGGCCUUGGAGAACCUUUAUGUCUAGCUCAGGGAUUGUAAAUACACCAAUUGGCACUCUGUAUCUAGCUCAAGGUUUGCAAACAUACCAAUCAGCACCCUGUGUCUAGCUCAGGGUUUGUGAAUGCACCAAUCGACACUCUGUAUCUAGCUACUCCAGUGGGGACUUGGAGAACCUUUGUGUCCACAGUCUGUAUCUAGCUAAUCUGGUGGGGAGGUGGAGAACCUUUGUGUCUAGCUCAGGGAUUGUAAAGGCACCAAUCAGCGCCCUGUCAAAACAGACCACUGGGCUCUACCAGUCAGCAGGAUGUGGGUGGGGCCAGAUAAGAGAAUAAAAGCAGGCUGCCCGAGCCAGCAGUAGCAACCCGCUCUGGUCCCCUUCCACACUCUGGAAGCUUUCUUCUUUCUCUCUUUGCAAUAAGUCUUGCUGCUGCUCACUCUUUGGGUCCACACUUCCUUUAUGAGCUGUAACACUCACCGCGAAGGUCUGCAGCUUCACUCCUGAGCCAGCGAGACCACAAACCCACCAGAAGGAAGAAACUCCGAACACAUCUGAACAUCAGAAGGAACAAACUCCAGACGCGCGGCCUUUAAGAACUGUAACACUCACGGCGAGGGUCUGCAGCUUCAUUCUUAAAGUCAGUGAGACCAAGCACCCACCAAUUCCGGACACGAUAUGUGAGAUAAGUACUUUAAAAAUACUAUUAGAGGUGAGGAAGCUGAGGCUUAAAUCUCUGGUGUAACAUGCUAGGAAAGAAAUGGUGAACUUAGGCAUUUGUAUUUGCUUUUCUGAUUCCAAGGCCUGGUCUCCUAACAAUACUCUGUACUAUACUUGGAGAGACCCUAGUUUGAUUGAUUUAUAGACAGGCCAGGUUGGCUAAACCUGCCAUAGCAUGAAUUGUUUGUCUAUGUGUUUAUAUAUUGUGCAUGGGUGUGUAGGUGGUAUUAAUAUGUAUCUAUAUUUUAAACACUUAUAAGUAAUUAAAUAAGUUUUUCCUGCUUGCAGAUUGUCUGUCCUUAUUGAAGCUAGAGUAAGCCAGAUUGAAGGACAGAAGAUUAUCAAUAAUUAACACCAUUAACUUUAUGAGAACUGGGAUGCCAGUUUUAGAGGUCAACUCCAAUAUGGACUUUCCAGUGUAAAAAAAAGUAAAGCACAGAUUCCAUGCCUCUAACUUAGAGUAUUUUGCCAAAUGCAAGAGAAAAAAAAAUAGCUCCUUACUUUAAAAGAAAGUUUCUAUUUUAAGUGGUCUUUGUGAAAUUCCUCAUUACAAUUGUUUUUUGUUUGUUUGUUUCUAUAUCUGAGAAGGGCUGAUUGCAAUCUCAGAGAGCGGGUGUAGGUGAAAAGAUGGUACACACAAUCUAACAUUCUUUCCAGGUUAAUUUUCUUCUCCGUCUCUUACCCACUUCACUGAAGUGAUUAACCGAAAGAGCUUUCAAGUCAAAGGAGAACCUAUUACAAAGUCCCUUGGAGGUUUAGGGGGAAGAGUUCAUGGGCUGUGGGCUUGGAAUGUUCCAGGAACAGUGAGAAGGCUAUGAUGUGUAGAGUGCAGAGGGCACAGGGAGGGCAACUGCAGACAAAGCUGGAGAGUCUGGCAGGAUGGCUUCUGUAUGGGACUGCAGCCAUGCCAGGAGUCACAAUACAGAGCUGAUGAGGAGGCCUUGAGUCACAAAGGGUGGGGGACUUCCAUGUGGUCUGGAAUUCAGCGUCUAUUAGUUUAUCCCCAGGGAAUCAAAAGGGAAUGAUUUGGACCUGAGUUUCUAGCAGUUUUGUGAGUGGUGUUUAGAAGGUCAGAGGAGUGUUGUUUUGUUAUUUUACAGGGACAUGCCUGUAUUCCUGACUGGUCUGGCAGGAUAUCUUGAAUGUCAUUUAUGAACACGUGCACAGGGAUACUGUAAAUCUUAUAUGCAAAACACAGCCUCUAUUCAGAGAGCUUUUCCUGGACGUAUAAACCAUCAGUGCUAACAGCACUGAAUUGAACAAGUCCUGCUUAAGUAGGAACUAGUUGAGCUGCCUUUAUUUGGUUUUCCAAGGUAUCAAAAUAAAGUUCUUCAAACAGGAAUGGCUACUAAAUAGCAUUUAAAGGCUCCGUAUUUUAUGUUUCAAAUCAACAAACAUUUAUAAAAGUAGCUGCUGGAGAUGCAGAGAUAAAUAUGACAGGAUUCCUGCCCUUGGAGAGUCCACAGUUUAACAAUGAGAGAGAGAGGUGGGCAAACAGUUAUUCUACAAUAAAGCAUGGUAGCUUCUCCAGUAGGAGUAUGAUUCCACUUUUUCUAUGGGGGCCACAGGUUGUUGUUGAAGAUGCUUUUUAACCUGUGAAAUGUGUGAGUUGUAGUCGAUGAUGAUAAUACUAAUAGCUGUCAUUAUCAGGAAUUAUGCUAGAUGUUUUCUCAAAUUAUACAAAACAGCAACCUUGAACUUGUCUUAGUCUCCUCCCUCUGUGCCACGUCUAACAGUCAUUAAAGUUAAUAUUUUCAUUGCUUUAACAUUUGUAACUCUCUCCAUCUCUGAUGCUGCUAUAGCCUUAUUUCAGACUUUCAUGAUCUUUAAAUGCCACAUUGCAAUACUCAUCUAUCGUGUGUUUUCCUGGCUUUAAUCUCUACCAAUUUAACAUAUUAUUGCUCUCAGAGUAAUCUUCCUAGAGUAGAAAUUUGAUCAUGACACUCCUUGAUUGAAAACCUUUUAUUUCUCAUUGUUAUAGACCUUGGUAGGGAAUACCAAGUCUGGACCCAGUUUGUAUAAAGCACCUUGUCUCUGGCCACACCCUUUCUCACUCUUAUUUCAUCCUUGCUCAGUCGCUUACAUUUCCCCUUACAUGGUGAUAUAGUUUGUCUGUCACCUCCAAAGCUCGUGUAGAAAUGUAUCCCCAGUGUUGGAGGGUGAGCCUAGUGGGAGGUGUUUGGAUCAUGGGGGCAAUCCCUCAUGAAUGGCUUGGUGCCCUCCCUGUGGUAAUGAGUACAAGAUCUUAUUGUUUAAAAGGGACUAGCAUCUCCACCUCUCUCUCUUCCUCCCUCUCUCACCAUGUGACACAACUGACUCCCCCUUUGCCUUCUGCCAUGAUUGUAAGUUUCCUGAAGCCCUCACCAGAAGUGGGUGCUGGCACCAUACUUCUUGCACAGCCCGAAGAACCAUGAGCCAAAAUUUAAACCUUUUUUCUUUACAUAUUAUGCAGUCUCAGACACUGCCUUAUAGCAAUGCAAAUGGACUAACACAGGAAAUUGAUACUAAGGAGUGACGUGUGGUUAUAAAGAUAACUGAAAAUGUGGAAGCAGCUUUGAAACUGGGUAAUAGGCAGAUGUUAGAAGAGUUCAGAGAACUCAGAAGAAGACAGGAAAAUGAAGGAAAGUUUGGACCUUCCUAGAGACUUAAGUUGUUGUGACUAAAAUGCCAAUAGAAAUAUGGACAAUGAAGACCAGGUUAAUGAAGUCUCAAAUAGAAAUGAGGAAGUUAUUGGGAAUUAGAGUAAAGAUCACCCAUGUUAUGCCCUAGAAAAGAACUUGGCUGCACUGUGUCCAUGCCGUAGGGAUCUGCGGAAGGUUGAACUUAAGAGUGAUGACCUAGGAUAUCUGGCAGAAUGUAUUUCUAAGCAACUAAGUGUUCAAGAAGUGGUAUGGCUACUUCUAACAGCUUGUGAUCAGAUACAGGAGCAAAGAAAUGACUUAAUGUUGGAACUUACAUUUAAACAGGAAGCAGAGCAUAAAAGUUUGGAAAAUUUGCAGCCUGGCCAUGUAGUAGAGAAGGAAAGAGCAUUUUCAGGUGAGGAAUUCAAGAGGGCUUUGGAGCAAGCACUUGCCAGAGAUAUUUGCGUGACUAAAAGGGAGCCAAGUGCUAAUAGUUAAGACAGUGGGAAAAAGACCUCAAAGGCAUUUCAGAAGUCUUCAGGGAAGCCCCUCCCAUCACAGACCCGGAGGCCUAGAAUGGAAGAAUGGUUUCAAAGGUCAAUCCCAGGAAGCUACUGCCCUGUAUGGCCUUGGGACACUGUUCCCUGUAUCCUGGAUGCUCUGACUCCAGCCAGAACUCAAAGGGUCACAGGUAAAGCUCAGACUGUGGCUUCAGAGGGUGCAAGCUGUAAGCCUUGGUGGCAUCCAUGUGGUGUUAAACCUGCAGAUGUGUGAAAUGCAAGAGUGAAGGAAACCUGGCAGCUCCCACCUAGAUUUCAAAGAAUGUAUAGGAAUGCCUGGAUGCCCAGGAAGAAGCCUGCUGCAUGGGCAGAGCCCCAACAGAAAGCCUUUACUAGGGAAGCACCAAGGGGAAAUGUAGGGUUAAAUCCCCCACACAGACUCCCCACUGGGACACUGCCCAGUGGAGCUGUGGGAAUAGGACCACCACCCUCCAGACCCCAGAAUAGUAGAGCCAUCAGUAGCUUGCACCCUGAGCCUGGAAAUGCUGCAGGCCUUCAACUCCAACCUGUGAGAGCAGCCACAGAGGCCACACCCUACAAAGCCACAGGGGUAGAGAUGCCCAAGGCCUUGGGAGCCCAUUCCUUGCACCAGUGUGCCCUGGAUGCAGGACUUGGAGUCACAGGAAAUUAUGUUGGAGCUUUAAGGUUUAAUGUUUGCUCUGCCGGGUUUCAGACAUGUGUGGGGCCUGUUGCUCUUUCUUUUGGCCUAUUUUUACCUUUUGGAAUGGAAACCUUUGCCCAAUGCCUAUACCACCAUUGUUUCUUGGAAGUAAAUAACUUGGUUUUGAUUUUAUAGGCUCAUAGGUGGAAGGAAAGUGCCUUGAGUCUCAGAUGAGAUUUGGACUUUUGAGUCAAUGCCGAAAUGAGUUAAGACUUUUGAGGAAUAUUGGGAAAGGAUGAUUGUAUUUUGCAAUGUGAGAAGGACAUGAGAUUUGAGAGACCAGCAGUAGAAUGAUAUAGUUUAGAUAUUUGUCCUUUCCAGAUCUCAUGUUGAAAUGUAAUCCCCUGGUGUGAGGUGUUCUGGUCAUGGGGCAGAUCCCUCAUGAAUGGCUUGGUGCCCUCCCUGCAAUAAUGAGUUCAUGCAAGAUCUGGUUGUUUAAAAGAGACUGGCACAUCCACCUCUAUCUCUUUACUCUGUCUCUCACCAUGUGACACAUUGGCUCCCCCUUGCCUUCUGCCAUGAUUGUAAGCUUCCUGAGGCCCUAACCAGAAGCAAAUGCCAGCAUGCUUCCUGUACAGCUGACAGAAUCAUAAGCCCAAAUUUAAACCUCUUUUCUUCAUAGAUUGCCCAGUCUCAGAUAUUCCUUUUAGCUACACAGACUAACACAUGGUAUAUUAUUUCACUUUCUUUUUUUUUUUUUUUUUUGAGACGGAGUCUCUCUCUGUCACCAGGCUGGAAUGCCAUGGCACGAUCUUGGCUCACUGCAACCUCCGACUCCCUGGUUCAAGCUAUUCUCCUGCCUCAGCCUCCUGAGUAGCUAGGAUUACAGGCAUGUGCCACCAUGCCCAGCUAAUUUUUGUAUUUUUAGUAGAGAUUGGGUUUCACCCUGUUGGCCAGGAUGGUCUUGAUCUCCUGACCUUAUGAUCCACCCACCUCAGCCUCCCAAAGUGCGGGGAUUACAGGCGUGGGCCACCAUGUCCAGCUGGUUGCUAUAACUUAUUAUAUCAUACUUUCAUGUUUGGAUCAGAUUACUGGUGCAUUUAUCAGAAAUGCCCAUCCCACCUCCUUGCCCACUGCCAUGAACCUGGGAAGCACCUCAGCUUUCAAUAUCUAGCUCAAGAGUCCCUUCUUGUAUGUGGCCUUUUUGAAGGUUAAUAAAAAUGUAACUGUGAAUAAAUAAUGUCUGCUAUGAAAAAUUUCAAAAAUUACCACAACUAAUAUCAAAGUAGACUUCAGAAUAAGGAAUAUUACCAGAGACAAAUAUGGAUAUUAAAUAAAGAUAAAUAGUUCAAUUGACCAAGAUACAUAACAAAUGUGAAAUCCUAGAUAUGAAUAAACCUAACAAAUGACCUUCAAAAUACGUGAAGAUUGACAGAAUUGAAAGGAUAACUAUAAAUUCAUAAUUAUAGGCAGAACCUUUAAUACUCUGCUUUCAGAACUGAUGGAAAAAGAGUAGAAAGGAAGUCAGUAGAGAUAUGUAGAAGACUUGACAUGUAUACCUAUGUAACAAAUCUGCAUGUUCUGCACAUGUAUCCCAGAACUUAAAGUAAAAUUUAAAAAGAGAAACAAAUAAACAAAAGACAAAACCACUAUGAACCAACUGUACCUAAUUGAAACUUUUUACUUUUUUAGAGAUAGAAUCUCAUCCUGUUGCCUGGGCUGGAAUGCAGUGGUGUGAUCAUAGCUCACUAUAACUUCAAACUCCUGGGCUCAAGGAAUCCUUCUGCCUCGGCCUCCCAAGUAGCUGGGACUACAGGUGUGUGCCACCAAGAUGGGCUAAUUUUUAAAAACUGUAGAGAUAAGGUCUAGCUUUGUUGCCAAGGUUGGUCUUGAACUCUUGGCUUUAAGCAAUCCUCCUGCCUUGACCUCUCAAACUGCUGGGAUUACAGGUACAAGCUGCCUCAUCAGCCCUGAUUGAAAAUUUUAAAAUAGUCCAUCAACAAGAGCAGAAUACACAUUAUUUUCAAGUGCACAAGGAACACAUACCAAGAUAGACCACAUUCUGGGCCAUAAAACAAACUUUAGCAAAUUUAAAAGAACUGAAGUCAUGCAAAGUAUGUUCUCUGAUCGCAAAAAAAUUAGACUAGAAAUUAUUGGCCAGGUGCAGUGGCUCACGCCUGUAAUCCCAGCCCUUUGGGAGGCCAAGGCGGGUGGAUCGCGAGGUCAGGAGUUCAAGACCAGCCUGGCCAAGAUGGUGAAACCCUGUCUCUACUAAAAAUACAAAAAACUAGCUGGGUGUGGUGGUGGUCGCCUGUAAUCCCAGCUACUUGGGAAGCUGAGGCAGAGAAUUGGUUGAACCUGGGAGGUGGAGGUUGCAGUGAGCCAAGGUUGCACCACUGCACUCCAGCCUUGGCGACAGAGCCAGACUCUGUCUCAAAAAAAAAAAAAAAAGAAAAAAAAAGAAAAAGAAAUUAUUUACCGAAAGGUACCUGAAAAAUCCACCCAGAUUUUGGAAACUAAGUAACAAAUUUCUAAAUAAUUCAUGGGUUAAAGGGAAAUUAGAUUAAAUUUUGAACUAAAGAAAAAUGAAAGUUCAACAUAUGAAAAUUUGUAGGGUGAAACUAAAGCAGUGCUUAGAGGAAAAUUUAUAUCAUUACAUAAAUAUAUUUUACAAAAAAUAAAGGUCUCAAAUUAAUGUUACAAGUUUCUGUCUUAAAAAAUUAGAAAAUAAAGAGCAAAGUAAGUCCAAAGUAAGCAAAAGAAUGCAAGAGAACGAGAACAACCAAAAAUAAUUUUGAAAUUGAACAAAGUUAAAGGACUUCUUAUUACCUGAUUUCAAUAUCUACCAUACAUGUUGUAACUGGCUGGGCACGGUGGCUCACGCCUGUAAUCCCAGCACUUUGGGAGGCCAAGGCGAGCGGAUCACUUGCAGUCAGGAGUUCAAAACCAGCCUGGCCAACAUGGUGAAAACCCCGUGUCUACUAAAAAUAGAAAAAUUAGCCAGGCAUGGUGGUGAUGCCUGUAAUCCCAGCUACUUGGCAGGCUGAGGCAGGAGAAUCACUUAAGCCUGGGAGGUGGAGGUUGCAGUGAGCCGAGAUCACACCACUGCACUCCAGCCUGGGUGACAGAGCGAGACUCCAUCUCAAAACACAAAAACAAAAACAAAAACGUUAUAGUAACCAAGACAGUAUAGUAUUCACAAAAGAAUAGACACAUAGGCCUGGUGCAGUGGUUCAUGCCUUUAAUCCAAGCACUUUGGGAGGCCGAGGCAGCAGAAUCACCUUGAGGCCAGGAGUUUGAGACCAGUGUGGACAAUAUAAAGAGAUCCUGUCUUUACAAAAAUUAGCUGGGCAUAGUGGUGCAUGCCUGCAGCCCAGUUACUUGGGAGGCUGAGGUGGGAGGAUCACUUGAGCCCAGGAAUUUGAAGCUGCAGUGAACCACGAUCACACCACUAUACUCCAGCCUGGGUGACAGAGUAAGACCUUGUCUCCUAGGAAAAAAAAAAAAAAAAAGACACGUAAAUAAAUGGAACACAACAGAGAGUCUAGAAAUGUACUCACUUUUGUGGCCAAGUAAUUUUUGACAAAGGUGCAAAGAAAAUUCAAUGGAGAAAGGAUAGUCUUUUCAAAAAGUGGUACUGGAAUGAUCGGGCAUCCACAUGCAGGAAAAUAAACCUCAACUUAUACCUGACGCUUUACACGAAAAAUUAGCUCAAAAAGAAUGUUACCUAGGUAUUAAAAUUAUGAAACCUUUAGAACAAAGCAUAAGAAAUAAUCUUUAUGACCUUGUGUUAGGCAAAGAUUCCUUGCAUAUAACACAGAAGCACUAUUUAUUCAAGAAAAAAAUGGAUAAAUUGCACUUCUUUCAAAUUAAAAAUGUUUGCUCUGCAAAAGACAGUGUUAAAAAAAUGGACAAGCCACAGAUUGAGAGAAAAUGGUUGCAAAUCACAUAUUUUGACAAAAGUACAUAAAAGACUCUUAAGACUCAACAAGAAGAAACAAACAACUGAAUUGAACAAUGGGCAAUUUGAACACUUUAUCAAAGAAGAUAAAUGCAUGGCAAAAAGAACAUGAAAAAAUACUCAGCAUUGUUAGUCAUUAGGGAAAUGUAGAUUUAAAAAUCACACUGAUUUAUUUCUCUGCACACCUAUUAGGAUGGCUAAAAAACAAACACACAAAAAGUGACAAUAACAAGAGCUAGCAAGGAUGCACGAUAACUAAAACUGUUUUUGUUUUUUCAGAUUUUUUUUCUGCAAACACCAUGGUGACUUACAGAACUUUACAUGCUGAUGAUGGGAAUAAAAAAAAAAUGGCACAACCACAACAGAAAAGUUUAGGAGUUCCUUAAUUUCAGUCCCAGGUAUUUACCCAAGAGAAAUGAAAAACAUGCUCACACAAAAAUAUGUAUGUGGAUUUCUGAACAUUAAAUUAUAAAGAUGAAUAAAGUUAUAGGGACUUUAUUCAUAAUCACUCAAAACUGAAAAUAUUCCAAAUAGUGAAUAGAUAAAUAAACUGGUGAAUAGCUAAGCAAAUUGUGGUAUGUCCAUACAAUGGCAUACUUUUGAGGAACAGAAAAGGAACAAGCUACUCAUACAUGCAGAUACAUGAAUUUAUCAGAUGAAUUAUGCCAAAUGAAAGAAACCAGAUUUAAAAAGCUAUAUUCUGUAUGAUUCCUUUAUAUGACAUUCUGAAAAAUUCAGAACUAUAGGGAUAGAAAACAGAUCAGUGAUUCCCUGUGGCUGUUCGUUGGGGGAGGAGAUUUUUACUACAAUGGGAUUUAAGAAAACUUUUGGGGUGACGGAUAUUGGGGUGAUUGGAGCACUUAUUAUACCAAGGUAUUCAUUUGCCAAAAGUUAUGGAAUUGUGUACUUAAAAGGAGUGAAUUUCCACCUCAUACCUGUUAGGAUUCCCACUAUCCAACAACAACAUCAUCAUCAUCAACAACAACAACCACAACAAACCCCGAAAACAGCAAGUGGAUAUGGAGAAAUUGGAUCCCUGGUGCACUGUUGGUGGGAACACAGAAUGGAGCAGCUGCUAUGGAAAACAGUAUGGAGAUUCCUAAAAAAUUAAAAAUAUAAUUACCGUAUAAUCUCAUAACCCCACUUCUGGGUAGAUAUCCAAAAGAAUUAAAAGCAGGAUCUCGAAGACAUCUUUGCAUACUCAUGUUCUUUGCAGCAUUACUUAUAACAACCAAGAGGUGGAAGCAACCUGAAUGUCCACGGACUGAUGAAUGGAUGCAGAAAAUGUGGUAUAUACAUAUGAUGGACUAUUAUUCAGCCUUAGAAAGAAAGAAGUCUUGUCACAUGCUACAACUUAGAUGAACCUUGAGGACAUUAUACAAAGUGAAAUGAGCUAGUCAUAAAAAAGACAAAUAUUGCAGGAUUCUACUUGUAUGAGUGCCGCCACGCUGGGAUUUUGUAAUUAUGAGCUUCAAAAGCAGAGACAACAUCUUCUAUUUCUGUGUCUCUUCCUACGGUGAAUAAUAUAGUCCUUGCCGUUUCAAUGUUAACAAAAGAAAAGUAAAAGAAAAAUGCUGCAAUAGCUGAGAGGGUUUAGAGUAAAUGGGGUUUGGAGAGGGUCAGGUAUUUUCCACAGCCAAACCAGAGUGGAUGUUGUCCCUUUAACUGUGGUGUCCUGGCUGAAGGCCAAAACUUAAUUGUUGAUGACCCUUCCUUUUCUUUUUUUUUUUUUUUCUGAGAUGGAGUCUCACUCCGUCCCACAGGCUGGAGUGCAAUGGUGUGAUCUCGGCUCACUGAAACCUCCGCCUCCCAAGUUCAAGCAAUUCUCCUGAGCCUCCUGAGUAGCUGGGACUACAGGCACAUACCACCAUGCCUGGCUAAUUUUUGUAUUUUUAGUAGAGACGGGGUUUCACCAUGUUGAUCAGGCUGGUCUCGAACUCCUGACCUCGUGAUCCGCCCUCGUUGGCCUCCCAAAGUGUUGAGAUUAUACGCGUGAGCCACCAUGCCUAGCCUGACCCUUCCUUUUCUGCUAGCCACUGUUAUGUACAGUGGGUUCGCAAAAAAGUUCAUUAAUGUCCUUAAGAAGUCAGAUGGGAUGGCUCUGGUGGCUCAGUGCCCACAGACCAGCGAAAGACAGAAUGUCCAGGCUGUACUGUAGGUGGCUGACACCCCAUCUUCUUGGUCACCUCCUGGAGGCCACACUUUAUGUAUCUGGAUUCUGUUUCUUUUUAAAAUUAUCCUAUUUUAUUAGUUUAUUAAUUUUAAAUUUUUGUAGGUACAUAGCAGGUGUGUAUAUAUUUAUGGGGUACAUGAGAUGUUUUGAUACAGGUAUGCAAUGUGAAAUAACCACAUCAUGGAGAAUGGGGUGGUAUCCAUCCCUUCGAGCAUUUAUCCUUUGUGUCAUGAACAAUCCAAUUACAUUAUUUUAAAAUAUACAAUGAAGUCAUUAUUGCCUAUAGUCACCCCGUUGUGCUAUCAAAUAGUAGGUGUUAUUCAUUAUUUCUAACUAGCUUUUUUUGUCCCCAUUAACCAUCCUCACCACCUGCCCCACCCUCCCACAACACUUCUCAGUCUCUGGUAACCAUCUUCUACUCUCUAUCUCCCUGAGUUCAAUUGUUUUGAUUUUUAGAUCCCACAAAUAAAUGAGAACAUGUGAUGUUUGUCUUUCUGUGUCUGGCUUAUUUCACUUAACAUAAUGACCUCCAGUUCUAUCCAUGUUGUUGCAAAUGACAGGAUGUUAUUCUUUUUUAUGGCCGAAUAGUACUCUGCUGUGUAGAUGUUCCACAUUUUCUUUAUCCAUUCAUCUAUUGAUGGACACUUACGUUGCUUCCAUAUCUUAGCUAUUGUAAACAGUGGUGCAGCAAAUAUGGGAGUGUAAAUGUAUUUUUGAUGUACUUAUUUCCUUUCUUUGGUGUGUAUACCCAGCAGUGGGAUUGCUGGGUCAUAUGGUAGCCUGGAUUCUGUUUCUUAUUUGCCAGUGGAUGUUUUAAAGUAUACAUCCUAUUGCCCUGGGUCAACUUUCUCAAGGACGUCCCCUCAGUCUUCUUCAUUUUUACAUAUAUGUUCAUUAUUUCUAAAAUUAAAAUUAUAGAAAAGUAUAAAAAAGAAAAUAAAAAUUAUGUUUUCCAACAA